rnacentral:rRNA from 1 species
UAGAUUUAAAAAGGGCUUGCAAAGCUCCCGAACUCAGUAGUGAAACGAUGCAUCGCCGAUGGUAGUGUGGGGUUUCCCCAUGUGAGAGUAGGUCAUCGUCAAGCA